CCAGUUCGGAUGCAGGCUGCAACCCGCCUGCGUGAAGUUGGAAUCGCUAGUAAUCGCGGAUCAGCAUGCCGCGGUGAAUACGUUCCCGGGCCUUGUACACACCGCCCGUCACACCAUGAGAGUCGGGAACACCCGAAGUCCGUAGCCUAACCGCAAGGGGGCGCGGCCGAAGGUGGGUUCGAUAAUUGGGGUGAAGUCGUAACAAGGUAAC
rnacentral:rRNA from 1 species